rnacentral:tRNA from 1 species
GCCCAUUUGGCUCAGUGGAUAGAGCGUCAGCCUGGGAACCGUGAUGUCCCAGGUUCGAUUCCCGUCAAGGGCA